rnacentral:tRNA from 1 species
GGGGCCAUAGCUCAGUGGCAGAGCGCUCGCUUUGCAUGCGAGAGGUCUAGGGUUCGAUCCCCUAUCGCUCCA